CCGCCAGCACAGCCUUCUCAGCAAGCUUUUUGCUGUAUGGGUAUUGAGCGGACCGUGGGUUUUCCAGAGGCUCUUCGUGACUGUUCUGGAUGAUUUCCUUGUAGGAGUUGGGCCCGGCUACCUCUAGGGUACUGGUGUAGAUGAAGACUGGCACCGUAGCUUGGACACAGGCCUCCAACAGAAGCUGGGUACCUACCAAUGAAAAGCAUUCUGACAGUGUCAGGAAAUAUCCCUAAGGGGACCCAACCAUGUGCACAUAUCUCCACUCCCAAGUGCAGUGGUUAUAACAGACUCGGGUACAUUCUUUUGUGGCUCUGACUGAGACUGGGCCAUGCUACAGCCAUAGGAAAAACACCAAAAUGAAAAGAAACUGACAUAUGGAUUCUGGAGAGCAAGAAUUUCUAGGCUUUUGGGUGUUUGGAUGUGUGUGUGUGUGUGUGUGUGUGUGUGUGUGUGUGUAGUUUAAUUUUGGCAAAGGACCUAGGGUUAUCACUUUAUAUUUUGCCAAGUAAGGAUGUUGAAAAUUAUAAUGUGACAUCAAUACCAUUAAUGGCAGAUUAAUGAAAAACUAAAACAUCAGGAAGAUAUACUCUGAGAAUAUGGACAGUCCUGGUUCUUUGGCAAAAAAGGGCAGUAGAAGAAUUUACAUCACACACACACACACCCAUAUACAGUUGUAUAUAAGCAAUAUACACUCUUAAAUAUACUCUUGAAUAUACAUGCAAUUGCUGGUAUUUUUCUCAUUUUGAGUGGACUGAUAAAACUUUGUCACAAGGACCAUUCCUGGAGUCAUUGAGCGAACAGUGGCUUGUGGGGAGAUGCUGGAAACCCACACUCUUUUCCUGAUUGUGCAUUCCCUGGGAAAGCUGCUUCCAAUUCUGGCUGUGACUCUGUUUACCUGGUUAUGUAAAGUCGGGGUGAUAAACCUUCCUUUAAACCCUGCCCUGGCAUUUCCUGUGGAGCCUGGUGGAGGACUGGGGAGAGGAGUGUGCCCUCUGCUGUUAACACCUGUACUGGGAGGACCUUGCAGCCUCCCCGGAGCUGUGUGGAAGCGAAGCUCAUGGAGGUGUUCGGAGUGCCUUCCCUUGAAGAAGGAAGGAAUUUCCUAGGCAAAGGAUUAUUAUUUUUUCUUAUUUUUUUUUAUUCUUGGCCCUGUUUAAAGUCUCUGUGGAAUUUGAGUUUCUGGAGAGACAGCCUCAUGUUUUCAACAAUUAAUCUGGUGGCAGAGAAAAUGUGGAAGUAGUUUACCUUCAAGGGGGAAAUGACCAACAUUGUGAAAUAUUUUCUAAGCCUUGGAGUGAUAAUGGUUUAGGAAACAGAUGCCUCUAACACUUCCCCUGUCAUUUCACAUUUCUUGUUGUUGGGAGCUGUGGAGAGUUAAUAAUUCAAAUGAAACACUGGUUACUCUUAACACCCUCCUCACACUGUAGAGGUACUUAAAGGUAUUCGUAAGUAGAAACUGGAAAGGUUUUUUUUUGAGAUGGUGCUGGAGUCCCAAAAGCAAUUAGUUGCUUUAGAAAAGGUGUCGGAGUAGACUGAAUGUGGAGGGCUAGGCCAGUGGUGGGGUGCUGUGGUGCUGAAGAGACUGGGCUCUGGGAAUCAGAGGGUGAGACUGCAUGGCAAGAUUCCUUAAGGGAAUGUGUCUGAAUUUAAAGUAGUUUGGAAAGCUGCAAUUCGGAAAGACCACCAAGACUUUAAGGGAUGAGGAUUGAAUGAAGGUGCACUUUGGACACCUGGCUGGGAAUGGCUCUGUAAUAGCAGGCCCUGUGGUGAGCUGAAGAGACUGUGUAUUCUGGACACUGGGAAACCCUUUUUCUUAAGAAAAUAUUGUGAGAAAGCAUGUGCUGGAUAAUUCAGUCCUGACAGACCUCUGUGGACCAGCUUUACUAAUUCUCUCGAGAUAACUUCUUUGAGGUGGGCAGGAGGGCUCUGAAUGUUCUUGAUAUGGGAGUGCUGGGAAGGGAAAAGCAUGGUCCCUUUAAAUGAUAUGGGAGGGGGGAAGGGAAGUGCUGGGUGAAGGAGGGUGUGGUCCCUGGCUAGGGCUCUACUCCCAGGGACCUAGAUGAGGACAAACAUUUUCUGCCCAAAUGUUGCAUUUCCCAAGACCACCCUGGCCUGCCAUGCCCCAAUUCUCUGCCUAUAAAACCCCCAAGACCCUAGCAGGACACACACAAACUGCCUGACAAUGAGAGGAGCAGAUUGGCAGAAGAAGACAGAAGGGGCUGGAUGGCAGGAGGGGCACAUCAACGGAGGAACACAUCAGCAGAGGAAGACACGGGCAGCUGGACGUUGGGAGGAACACACCGCCCAGCAGAAUGAUGUGGAGAUUCCCUGGGAUGGUCGGAGAAGAGUUGGGCAGUUGAACGGCCAACUCCAUGGGAAAACCCUCCCCUUCUGGCAUCCCCCAGCUGCUGAGAGCUACCUCCACUCAACAAAACCUGGCACUCGUUCUCCAAGCCCAGGUGUGAUCUAAUUUCUCUGGUAACCAAAACAAGAACCCAGGAUACAGAAAGCCCUCUGACCUUCCAACAAGGUAGAGGGUCUAAUUUAGCUAGUUAAAACAAGCCGCCUGUAGAUGUCGAAACUAAAAGAGCAAGACUAAAAGAGCACCAUGUAACACACACCCACUGGGGCUUCAGGAGCUGUACACAUUCACCCCAGACACUGCCAUGGUGUUGGAGUCCGACAGCCUGCCUGCCUGUAUGCUCCCAUAGAGGUUUCAGCAGUGAGGCACUGAAGAAGCAAGCCACACCCCCAUUGCAUGCCUGGUGAGGGGGACGAGGGAAUUUUUCCCAUUUCAUUAUCAUAAGCCUACACACAAGGUGACUUGUGUGUAGCACAAUGAUGACUGUGGUGGCACCUGGAAGGUUUGAUUCUGUCCCAUAGAGGCAAAGAGUGGCUGGAUAUCAAGAGUCUGAAGUUGGAAUUUAGUUGACUUUUGAUUGAAGCCACAAUAGAAAGAGUGUCCACAGCCUUUGGAGUCACACAGGGGUGAGUUUAAAGUCUAACUCUCCUAUUUACUUACUUACCUGGGGGGCCUUGGACAAGUUACUUGCCAUCUGUAGCACUGGUUUCCUCAUGUAAAAAACUGAAGAUAGCAGCUUUGAACUCCCCCAGUUGGUAGUGAUCAGCAAAGACACUUGGUCCAGAGUAUAGCAGGUGUUCAGUGGAGAGACUUCUUUUCCCUUCCUGUCCUUCUUUGUGAUCCUUAAUUCCCCAACUUGCUUCAUCUCCUCCCCAGGCUACUGUACGUUUCACAUUGAUGUUCAUGAUGGACUCUCUGUGAGUGACACCGAUGACGUCUAUGAUAGAGGUGGUGUGGAUGAUGACCGACAUGUCCUGGCAGGCUGUCUUCAGGCAUGACUCAUCCAGAAUGUCUCCUUCCAGCACCGUCAGCUUGGUCUUGUUCUGGAGCUCUGUGUGAACACCGGUCAGGUUAUCAGAACGAUUUCUGAAAUGGUUUCUGAAACUGAUAAAGAUGAUGUUACAUAGGUGUUCGAGGAUGGCUAGAGUCAGGGUGUUGGAGUGGAGGGUGUACAUUCCAUGGAAGGAACAAGUAAACAGGGACACAGAAGUCAGAAUGUGUAGCAAUUUAUUGGGAAAGAGCAAACAUCUGUUUCUACCCCAUCUCAUUUAAGAAAUGUAAUCUGAGCAAUGAGCUGUCAGGUGUGCUUGGAAUAUAAGCAUUUCUAGAGUCAUGGGAGACUCACUAAAAUAUUUAAAGAGAGUAGGGUGAUUGUGGAGAGUUGGGUAUAAGAGGGAAAAUUUGAAUUUAAUUCUGCUGGUGAUGCGGGAUCAUGAUUUUGGGUCUCCAGCACCAUGUCAAAGAAAAUCCCUUAUUUAUAUUUGGAAUAAGUAGAGAAACAGGCAGAGCAUGAUGGCUGACACCUGUAAUUCCAGCACUUUGGGAGGCUGAGGUGGGCAGAUUGCUUGCACCCAGGAGGUCAAGACCAGCCUGGACAGCCUCGUGAAACCCCGUCUCUACUAAAAACACGAAAAUUAGCCAGGCGUAGUGGUGCUUGCCUAUAGUCCCAGCUGUUCGGGAGGCUGAGGAAGGAGGAUGAAUGGAACCCAGGAGGUGAAGGUGGCAGUGAGCAGAGAUCAUGCCUCUGCACUCCAACCUUGGUGGCACAGCCAAACCCUGUUAAUAAAAAAAGAGAGACAGAGAAACAGAAGCAGAAUUGUAAUGUAGGAAGUCAACAUUGGCUUGAGGAUAUAAAAAGGACUGGUAUAGGGGAUAUGAGAAAGUAAGGUAAUUAAGAGAUUAAUCAGAGUAUCUGUGCCAAAGUUUCGAUGAGGACUGGAAGCAGGGUCCAGCAGUGGAAGCAGAGCAGGGGAGAGAUAAAACAGGUUUGAAUUUCAGACCUUACCUUGAAGGUCCUGAUACCUACUGGAUCUGGGCUGAGAGAAAAAGAAGACAAAAUCACCCCUAUGGUUUCCUCCUUGGGCAAUUGGGAAGAGAGUGGAGCCAUUACUAGGGAAUUGCUGAUGGGCUUAAAUGAGGAAUUUCCAUGAAAAACUCAUCAGAUUUGAAAAGCAGAUAGCAAUGCUGAAAGUUAGCGACCAAUGAACUGAUAUUCCAGCUGUCUAGCCGAGGGCAGUGGUUACAACUUUAAUGUCUUCACGUUCCUCUGAAAUCCACAAGAAGUGAUGCUGCCAGUAAAGUUGUCACCUGGAAUUAGCCCACGCAAUGAACACUGUGGUACAUGAAGCUUGGAUACAUACACUACACUUGUUUGUGCUUUAUAAUCUGCAUAUGACUCACAGCUUGCUUAUUUCCUUUUACAGCAAUCUCAUGAGAUAGGUUUUCUGAGUCCCACUUUACUGGUGAGGAAACUGAGGUUCAGAGAGGUUAAGGGACAGAUCAAAGGUCGCGUUUCUAGUAGAGGCUCAAACUUGCCCACUCCGCCUCCAAGCCUCGUAUCCUGCACACCAGGUACAGGACUGGCUGUUAGAAUAAACUUUUCUGAGAAAGAGUAAGAAUAAGCCAGUUCAACUGAAAUUGGCAACAAAGGCCAAAGAACAGUGAGAGUAAAAUUCAGAGUGAAAAAUUCAAGACCAGAGUAAUUCCUUCCUGGGAUACAGGCGGGACCACUUCCUCUCCUAAUGCCUCUGCCAUGCUUUGUCUACUCCCAGCCCCUUCCUAUUGCCAGGCACCUCCAAGGAGGCCCUGCAGUUUGGGGAGGCAGGGAAGAGGCUGCUGGGGAGGACAUGGGUGACAGCCUGAGAGUGGAAUUUUCUCUGGUUGUAUUUCCACCUCUGCACUUCCUGCUCCCUUCCUCUGCUUCCCCUUUGCUGCCAACUUCAGACAGACUGGCUCAAAGGAAUUGCCAUUUCAAAGCUGAAGAAGUCUAAAGCCAAGAGAAAAGGCUCUUCCUUAAUGAGUUCACAGGGAUCUAGAGAGACCAGGAAAGGGGACUUUGUGGAUGGAGCCGUAGCUCCAUCAUUCCUCAAGCUGCUAGAUGAACUACUGCUUAAGAGCACAGAUGCUGCACUAGACUGUCUGGGUUCAAAUCCAGCUUUGCCAUAUUCUAACUCUGAGACUUUCAACGAGUUAAUUAACCUCUCUAUGUCUGUCUCCUAAUCUGUGAGAAAGGAGGAUAAUAAUAUUAACAAUCUCAUAGGGUUGCUAUUAGUAACAAAUGAGUCAGCACAUGCAAAACAUGUAGCACAGUGACUGGCACAGAAAGAACACUGAAAGGAUUCUCUGUUUUUAUCUUUAUACAGGCUACUGCCCAUCCAUUAUAUCCCCUAUCUUUUCACCAUAGGAGAACUAUUCCUCUAGGUUGAGCGUUGCUUUUUUUCUGGUAUUAGGUGUUAGAUUGCAAAUAUUGGUGACACAUAAGGAUUACAAACAUUUAAUCUUGGUCUUGUGUUAGUAUUUGUUUAUGAAAGACACCAUUAAAACAGAGGGUGGAGGAAAUUGGAAGAGGCCAGAAAAGAGCAAAAGAAGGGCAGAAUUUUGGGUGUGGUGGUCCCUGAGUGCUGUCAAGUAGGGGCUUCUCUGAGGGCAGGGCAUGACUCUUUGCACAGCCAGAGCCCAGGUGUAGACACACAGUUCACCCACCCCCUGGGUUGGGGAGGAGGACAGGGAAUUGGGCACCCAGAGAGGCAAAGGGAGAGACUGAAGACCCACUUUGCCAAGUAUCAGCUCCAGAGUAAAGUGAUGAUGCUUCUGGAUGAAGCUCUGGUCUGAGGUCUGCUACACAUUAACCAGAUGGUCUUAGCAAGUUGCUUUAUGUUUCUGGAUCUUGAUAGUUCAUUGUCCAGUUGGAUAUGACUCCUUUUCUACUUUCCUUAUGGAGUUAUUUGCACAAGAAAUUGCUACAGCAAAUUCUGCAAUUUCUUGGGGGUAUUGAGCAACAGAAGCAAAUGGUUAAAAAAUAAAGCCAUAAAUGAAAAAUCGAAAAGAGGGAUAUCCGGCCUUAUACUGCCUCUUACUCUGUCUCUGCUCUGUGCUGUGUACUUGUGCAUGCUCUCUCUCUCUCACUGAUGCUGUCUCUUUCUCCUAUCCUCUCCCUCUCUCUCUCACUCUUUCUCAUGCAUUCUUUCUCUUUCUCAUUCUCUCUCUCUGAUUUUCUCUCCCCCUCAUUUUCUCUCUCUCUUUUGCUCUCUCUCUCUCUCACACACACAAACACACACACUUACACACUCAUCUAUACCUUCACUUCCUUUUAUUUUGCCUUCACCAAAGGUGCCAAGGUUGCUACAAAACAAAACAAAGCUCAGGGAAGUCUAGAGAGGCAGGGACCCACUGGUGAGGUCUCCAGGUAAAUGGUGUCCUUUGUGAAUGUUGCAAAGCAAUUGCCGAGACAAAAAGCUUCAGAACUUAAAAUAGUUGCAGACAAGAAAAAUAACUGAUGUGGGAUUUUCUAGAUGAGAAGAAAAGGGGGCUGGUGUCCAAAGUGGUUGCCUCUCAAGUUCUGGGUCAGGGACAGAAUCCAGUCUCUGGACAGCCCAUCCAGAAUCUUUCACACUAUGCCAUUUUAUACUAUUUAAUUUUCUUUUCUUUUUUUUUUUUUUUUUAAGACUAUGGAUGUGAGAUUGGCUUAGAUUUGACUACUGCUUUCUGUAACUUGCUAGAAAAGGUCCACCUUCCUGCACCCAUGCAGUGUUUAAAAUGGAGCCACACACCCACGAAUCAAGUUUACUUACCAGAAAAUUCCUUCCUCAAUUCCGGUCUGAAGGCCUUGUCCAAGGCCCUGAUCUCCUUCAGCUCCUUCUCCUCCACCAAGAGGCGGAUGAUCCUCUAACCCAGAAAUCCUCCUGCUCCUGUCACAAGGCAGCUCCAGCCUGUCAUGGCCAAUCCAAAGUAGCAGACAACACACUCCAGGAAACAGAAGAUGCUGGGGAGCAGAUCUGAUUCUAGGGUGACCCUGGAGAGGGCUAAAAAAAGAGAUCAAAUGGUUAUAUAUUCACACAGAUGUCUUAUUUUCCUCUACCCCAUUUUUUUGCAAAAAUUCCAUGUCUCCACCAUUGCCAGGAGUAGCUGAAAGAAAAUGAAGAAGCUCUUACUGUUAGAUUGUUAAAGCUGGACAAAAGAGUCAGGGUGCUUGUCACUUCAUCCCCUAAGGGAGCCCUGGGGCUUUAUGCUCCGUGGCUUCUGGCUUGCCCCCUAUUCCCUUGAACUCCUGCCACAUACUCAUUUCUCCUGCCUCCUCCAGCAUCCCUUUUCUCAGAAGAAUAGUGACCUUUAGUCUAUAUCUCUAAUUCUUCCCGGGAACAGGAAGAGAAGUCCAAUUCUAAGGCCGCAAUGUGGUAAAGAGUCUUAGGUUUAGCCUUAACAGGACACUGGUCAGUUGAUACCAGAUAUCGGGGAUCCGCAAUCUGUGAUCUUAAACUAGGCUGAGAGAAAUCUCCAAGUGUAAUGUGAACUUUGCCUUUGUGCAGUAAAUAUGUUUGGAAGGAAAUCCACAUUAGCUCGUUAUCUCCUCUCUCUGAGUGUCAUUUGAAAUGUUGCUGCUGUCUUGCAAAGUUUAGAAAUUUGCAAUGGUGACAGCCCCAAUCACUAAGUUUUACGGAGGUGACUUACUUUCCUAUUCAAUAUAUCCAAAACCUCAAUUGCAAUUUUCCCCCAGAGAGCUCUGGGUUCCUAGAUGAAGAACACCAUUGAAGGAAAGCUAUCUAGUGUUAACCAUUUAAUGAUAUGGCCUGUACCACAAGAGUGGGGAUUUGUGGUUGCAUGCCCCAGUGACUCUUAUCAUAGAUGUUUGAAAUUUUCCCAUAUUUUUGGGUACAAAACCAUUCUCAGCAAAUUUCUGAAGAUGCUGUGAAUGCUCCUUGAGCGUAUACCUGAGAACUGCCCAAAUUUCACCACCAUGAGCUCUCCAAGAUACUUUCCUCUACUUAAAAAAAUCGAGGCCAGGCGCAGUGGCUCAUGCCUGUAAUCCCAGCACUUUGGGAGGCCAAGGCAGGCAGAUCAUGAAUUCAGGAGAUCAACACCAUCCUGGCUAACACGGUGAAACCCCGUCUCUACUAAAAAUACAAAAACUUAGCUGGGCCUGGUGGUGGGCGCCUGUAGUCCCAGCUACUCAGGAGGCUGAGGCAGGAGAAUGGCGUGAACCCUGGAGGCGGAGCUUGCAGUGAGCUGAGAUCGCGCCACUGCACUCCAGCCUGGGCGACAGAGUGAGACUCCGUCUCAAAAAAAAAAAAAAAAAAAAAUCCAGGUGUAAUUUAUAUUCACUAAAAUGCCCAGAUCUCGUGUUCAGUUUGAUGAACCUUGACAGUUAUGUAUGCCCAUGUAAGUAGCACCCAAAAAAUUAUUGGUCAUUUCCUUCACUGCAGAAAGUUCUUUUCUGCCUGUUCUUAGUUAAUUCCCUCCCCUGCCCCCAAUUUACCUGGUAGGCAGCUACUUUCUGAUUUUUAUUCCCACAGAAUUUUCAUUUUAUUCCUAUAUUUUCUUAAUUUAUUCUUCUAAGAUCUAUGUGGUUCUGGAUAUUUAUUUAAAUAUAAAAUCAUUCUGAACUGAAGUUUUGUUCAUGGAGUACAGAAAGAUUGACCAUUGAUUGUCUCUAUUGUUUGUUUAUUUUUCUAUUUCAUGAUUGUCUUUAUUUUUAUUAUUGGCUUAUAUUUAUUAACUCUGGGGUUGUUUUACUCUUUUUUUCAGGGUUCUUAUUAUAAUAGCAUAUAUAAUUGACUUUAGUCCUUUGCUCCUUUCCACUACAGGCAUUUAAAGUUGUAAGUUUCUCUCUAAGCACUAUGUCAGCUGUAGCCAACAUUUUGAUGCAUUGGGUUAUCAUCACUCAGUUAAUGAUGUUUUGAAUUUUUUCUUGUGAGUUCGUCUUUGACCGAAGUGACCGAUACCAACAGAGUAUGUAGCUUGUUUUCUGAAAUUGGGAAUCUUCUAGAUAUCUUAUUGUUUUGAAUUUCUAAUUAAAUACUACUGUGGCCAUAGCAUAUACUCUGUAUGAUUUUGAUCCUUGUGUAUAUAUUGAGACUUGUUUUAUGGUGCAGCAUAUGGUCUGUGUUGGUGAACAUCCCAUAAACACUUGAAACGAAUGCUUUCUGCAGUUGUUGGAAGUAAUAUUCUACAAAUGAUUUGCUUUGAAACCCCACUCUAGGCCUUGCCCUCCUCCCAUGUUGAAAACAUUCAACUGCUACUUGGGACCUGACUACCAAUGCUUCAAACCCACUUGCCUAGAAAAGGUUGGCCCUGUGCUGCAAGAUGUAGCAGCUUGUUCUCUGAUAGCCACAGGCCCUGGGUCUUGCUGAGACAUGUGGAGCACUAUCUGAACCACCCAGGCGCAUCACACACCUUUGCCUGCUAUAGCACGUGCUAGAGUGCACCUUACAGAUCCCAUCACCUUUUGGAUGGGGCCAGACAUUCCCUAUGCUGCUGAGAGUUCUGGAGGCUGAUAGAUUUCAGCCAGUGUCUCUUGGAGUCUCUGAGUGGAACCAAUAAAUAAAAGCCCUAAAGAAAGUGAGAAAUUAAACAAAGGGCAAGACUGAUGGGGGCCACACUACUAAAUUUCUUUUGUUUUUAAACAGCUUUACUGAGGUAUAAUUGACAUAACAUUUGCUUGUUUUAAGUGUGCAGUUAAAUUAUUUUCAGUAAAAUUUUAGAUUGUGUGUCCAUCACCAUGAUCCUGUUUUGCAACAUUUCUAUCGUUCCUAAGAAAUCCCCCAUGUUCAUCAAUCACCACCACUUUUUCCCAGUCCCCAGCUCCAGGCAACCUCUAAUUGACUUUCUGACUCUACAGAUUUGCCUUUUCUGGAGACCAUAUAAAUGAAAUCAUGCAAUAUGUGGUCUUUUGUAUCUGUCUUCUUUCAUUUACUUUAAUAUACUUUUAUGGUUCAUGUAUGUGGCAGCACAUAUCAAUAUUUUAAUCCUUUUAGGUGCCAAAUCCUAUUAAAUUGUAUGGAUAGCUCCCGUUAGUUUAUUCAUUUAUCAGUUGAUAGAUAUUUGAGUGUUUCCACUUUAUGGACAAUUAUGGAUAAAGUUGCUAUGAAUAUUCACAUUCGUGUGUUGUGUGGACACAGGUUUUUUUCUUCUGGGUAGAUAGCUAGAAGUGAUAGUGCUAGGUCAUAUGGUAAAUAUAUCUUCAACAUUUUGAGAUACUGCCAAACUGGUUUCCAACGUGACCGCAUGUCCCAUCAACAAUGUGUGAGUAUUUUAGUUUUUCCACAUCAUUAUUUCACUUCCUCCAGGUGUUACUGUCCUUUUUUAUUAUAGCAUUCUAGUGGGUAAGAAGUGGUGUCUCACUGUAGUUUUGAUUUGUAUGUCCCUGCUGACUGAUGAUGCUGACCAUCUUUUCAUGUAUUUUAUUGUCUAUUCCUACAUCUUUUUGAUGAAAUGGUUAUUCAAAUAUUUUGCCUAUUUUAAAAUUGGGUUAUUUAUCUUUUUGUUGCUUAGUUGUAAGUGUAUUUCAUAUUCUGGAUAUGAGUCCUGUAUUAAAUAUAUGAUUUGAAUUUUUUUUCUCAGUCUCUGGUUUAUCUCUUCAUUUUCUUAUUGGUGGCUUUUAAAUGCCAACAUUUUUAGUUUUGAUCCUGUUUCAUUUUUCAACUAUUUUUUAACCAGGAAAAUUUGGGUUUUUGCCUAAUUCAAGAUCAUGAAUAUAAUAAUCUAUGUUUUUUUCUAAGAGGUGUAUAGUUUAGCCCUUAAAUUUAGGCCUUUAUUUUAUUUUGAGGGAACUUUUGCCUAUGUGUGGGUUAAUGGCCUAAAUUCAUAUGGCCAAUUGAUUUUGACAAUAGUAAAUUCAAUAGGGAAAAAGAUUGUCUUUUAAACAAGUGACACUGAGACAACUGAAUUGUCCACAUGCUCAGGGAAUGUCAGCCUGCUAUGUCGAGUGAUGCCCACCGGAGUCACCACCUAUUGACAUCAGAGUGUGUGAAGAAUUUCUCAAUAUGAUAACUAUGGGUUAAAUAAUAUGCUGUAGCUUUCUGCUCCUCCCAUUCGACAGAUAGCCGCAUCUUCUUGUGCAGCGCCAGCCGCAUCCCUGAGACACCAUGGUAAAGGUGAAGGCCAGAGUCAAUGGAUUUGGCCCUAUUGGGUGCCUGGUUACCAAGGCUACUUAUAACUCUGGUAAAGUGGAUAUUGUCACCAUCAAUGACCCCUUCAUAGUCUACAUAUUCCAUACUACAUGGUCUACGUAUUCCAGUAUGAUUCCACCCAUGGUGAAUUCCAUGGCACCGUAAAGGCUGAGAACAGGAAGCUUGUCAUCAAUGGAAAUCCCACCACCAUCUUCCAAAAGCUAAAUCCACCAAAAUCAAAUAGGGCAAUGCUGGCACCAAGUACAUCAUAGACUCCAGUGUCGUCUUCACUACCAUGGAGAAGUGUGUGGCUCAUUUGCAGGGGCCAGUUAAAUGGAUCAUCAUCUCUAACCCCUCUGCUGACAGCCCCAUGUUUGUGAUGGGUAUGAACCAUGAGAAAUAUGACAACAGCCUCAAGAUCAUCAACAGUGUUUCUUGUACCACCAACUGCUUAGCAUCUCCGGCCAAGAUCAUCCAUGACAACUCCGAUUUAGUGGAAGGACUCAUGACCACAGUCAAUGCUAUGAUUGCCACCCAGAAGACUGUGGACGGCCCCUCUGUGAAACUGUGGCAUGACAGCUGCAGGGCUCAAAGGAACAUCAUCCUUGCAUCUACUGGCACUCUCAAGGCUGUGGGCAAGUAUAUCAAUGAGCUGCAUGGGAAGAUCACUAGCAUGGCAUUCCAGGUCCCCACCACGAACAUGUUGGUCAUGAACCUGACCUGCCCUCAGGAAAAGCAUGCCAAAUAUGAUAACAUCAAGCAGGUGGUGAAGCAGCAUCAGAAGGCCCCCAUAAGGGCAUCCUGUGCUACACUGAGAACCAGGUUGCCUCCUCCAGCUUAACCAUUGACACCCACUCUUCCACCUUCAAUCCUGGGACUGGCAUUGCCCUCAGUGACCACUUUGUUAAGCUCAUUUUCUCAUAUGAUAAUGAAUUUGGGUACAGCAACAGGAUGGUGAACCUCAUGGCUCACAUAGCCUCCAAGGAGUAAGACCUCUGGGCCACCAGCCCCGCGAGAGCAUGAGAGGAAAAGAGAGGCCCUCAGCUGCUGGGGAGUCCCUGCCACACUCAGUCCCCCACCACACUGAGAAUCUCCCCUCCAUGCAGUUUCCAUGCAGACCGCCUGAAGAGGGAGGGGCCUAGGGAACCCCACCUUGUCGUGUA